AUUUUAUAUCUUGUUGAUUAUAAGUUUAUAAUAAAGAAUUAAAUUUGAAAAAUAAUUUAAAAAAAUAAUUUAUAGUAAUUAUUGGUGAAUAAGGAUUAUAUGACUAUAGUAGAGAGUACUGUAAAGGAAAGAAUUAAAAAAUUUUAUAAAGGAGUAAAGUAGAAAUUUAGUUUUGUACCUUGUGUAUCAGGGAAAAUUAAUAUAUUAUUAAAUAUAAUUAAAGAUCUCGAAAUAAAAAUAGCUAAUUUUAUAAAAAAAGUUUUUAUAAUAUAAAAAUUUUCAAUAUAAAAUUAGAAGUGAAAUGUUAAUCGAGUUUUAUAAUAUCUAGUUCUUUAAGAAAUAAAUAUAAUUUAGAUUCUGUAGGUAAUAAAAUAUAGGAGAAAAAAAUAGAAGGGAAAAGCUUUUUAUUUAAGAUAAUAGAUAAAAAUAAAAAAAAGAUUAAUCUAAGCUUAAAAGUAGCUAUGUUUUUAAAGUGUUUUAACUAAAACCAAUAAUUAAUAUUAUUUUUAUAAAGCUUUAGUGAUUUAUAUUAGAGAUUUGUUUAAAAUUUUGUAUAACAAGAUAAGAUGAUUUUAUUAGUAGGAGUAAUUUAUAUUAGAGAAAGAAAUAAAAUAAUUUAAAAAUUAUUAUAAUAAUUAGGUACUAUAGAGGAAUUCGGCAAAAAUUUUCUUUGCCUGUUUAUCAAAAACAUGUUUGUUUGGAGAUAUAAAGAAUCUAACCUGCCCCCUGAUUAUAAUGUUAAAGGGCCGCAGUAUUUGUAACUGUGCAAAGGUAGCAUAAUCAUUAGGUUUUUAAUUGGAAUCUUGUAUGAAUGGUUGGACAAAAGGAAAACUCUCUUUAUAUUAAAUUUUGAAUUUAACUUUUAAGUGAAAAGGCUUAAAUAUUCUAAAGGGACGAUAAGACCCUAUAAAACUUUACAUUGUAAUUAUAUUUUAUUGAAUUUAUAAUAUAAAAAUUUAAUUUGAAUUAUUUGUUAUGUUGGGGAGACAUAAGUAAAAUAUUAUUUUAACUGCUUAAUAAUUUAAUACAAUUAUUAAUGAAGAAAAUAGAAGAUCCUUAAUUAAAGAUUAAUAGAUUAAGUUACUUUAGGGAUAACAGUGUAAUUUCUUUUAAGAGUUCUUAUCGAAAAAGAAGAUUGCGACCUCGAUGUUGAAUUAAAAUAUCUAUAUAAUGAAGAAGUUAUAUAAGAGGGUCUGUUCGACCUUAAAAUUUUUACAUGAUUUGAGUUCAAACCGGUGUAAGCCAGGUUGGUUUCUAUCUUUUAGGAAAAAAAGAUUAUUUUAGUACGAAAGGAGUAAGUAAUCAAAAUAAUUUUAAUA
rnacentral:rRNA from 1 species